rnacentral:lncRNA from 1 species
UUUUUUCGAGACAGGGUCUCAUUCUGUCACCUAGACUGGAGUGCAAUGGCAUGAUCUCAGCUCACUGCAACCUCCACCUCCCAGGCUCAAGCAGUUCUCCUGCUUCAGCUUCCCAAAUAGCUGGGACUACAGGGUCUCCAAUAUUUGAGAACUGACACAUUCAAUCUAAAAAUAAUCUGAGUAAAACCAUCAUCUAGUCCCUUUCCUUUGAGACCCAUUUUUUUUUCCUCAUCCACAUCCUACCUAUAAGGGAGGAAGCAAAGUGAAGAACACAGAUUUCACAGAUGGGAUGCCUGGCUCAAAUUCCAGCUUGACCGCUGGUAGCUGUGUGACCCUCG